UUAUUUUUAAAUACUCAAGCGUAAUGAUAACAACCAGAAUAAAUUGUAUUCUAACUCAUUUUGAACACAAUUGCAAUAAAUACCUUGGUGAUGCAUUUCAUUAUCCCGUAAUAUCUCCUUAAAUAUUUGUUUAAAUUUUGAUUCACUCGUAUGUGCCCUCAUAAUUUCUGUCUCUAUAAUAUCACUUGAAACGUAUAUUUACGAAAAAUAUAUUAAUAUAACCACAAAACACCGGUUACUUGACGCCAUAUUGUAAACAAAACGCACCUAGCGCCGCAGUGGCGAGCACUGAACUAAAUCAAUCAAACGGCGCUUUUGAAUUAGCUGUAGUGUUAAACGUUUUGGAGCGACGCUAAUAUUUAAUUAAAAAGCUAGACGUGUGAUUGAAUGGCGUUGUUCAGUAAAAGGGCUAGCUGUUUGAUUGAACGGCUAUUCAAACCAGGUGGCUGCGACAU